rnacentral:rRNA from 1 species
AGCGAACGCUGGCGGCAGGCUUAACACAUGCAAGUCGAGCGGGCACUUCGGUGUCAGCGGCAGACGGGUGAGUAACACGUGGGAACGUACCCUUUGGUUCGGAAUAACGCUGGGAAACUAGCGCUAAUACCGGAUACGCCCUUGUGGGGAAAGGCUUGCUGCCGAAGGAUCGGCCCGCGUCUGAUUAGCUAGUUGGUGGGGUAAUGGCCUACCAAGGCGACGAUCAGUAGCUGGUCUGAGAGGAUGAUCAGCCACACUGGGACUGAGACACGGCCCAGACUCCUACGGGAGGCAGCAGUGGGGAAUAUAGGACAAUGGGCGCAGGCCUGAUCCAGCCAUGCCGCGUGAGUGAUGAAGGCCUUAGGGUUGUAAAGCUCUUUUGUCCGGGACGAUAAUGACGGUACCGGAAGAAUAAGCCCCGGCUAACUUCGUG